rnacentral:rRNA from 1 species
AGCGAACGCUGGCGGCAGGCUUAACACAUGCAAGUCGAACGCACCUUUCGGGGUGAGUGGCGGACGGGUGAGUAACACGUGGGAACGUGCCCUCUAGUUCGGAAUAACCCAGGGAAACUUGGGCUAAUACCGGAUAAGCCCUUCGGGGGAAAGAUUGAUCGCUAGAGGAUCGGCCCGCGUCUGAUUAGCUAGUUGGUAGGGUAAUGGCCUACCAAGGCGACGAUCAGUAGCUGGUCUGAGAGGAUGAUCAGCCACACUGGGACUGAGACACGGCCCAGACUCCUACGGGAAGCAGCAGUGGGGAAUAUUGGACAAUGGGCGCAAGCCUGAUCCAGCCAUGCCGCGUGAGUGAUGAAGGCCUUAGGGUUGUAAAGCCCUUUCGUCCGGACGAUAAUGACGGUACCGGAAGAAGAAGCCCCGGCUAACUUCGUGCCAGCAGCCGCAGUAAC